rfam:Ciona savignyi cont_32338, whole genome shotgun sequence.
GCUUAUCACCAUUCCAGAUUGAAUAUACCCGAUCUCGUCUGAUCUCGGAAGGCAAGCAAUCUCGGGCUUGGUUAGUACUUGGUUGGGUGACCGCUUGGGAAUACCAAGUGUGAUAAGCA